GCAUAUUUCUGUUCAUUCUCUUGCACCUGCUAUCAGUAUAGGAAGAAUUUCCUCUGAGUAGCGGCUGCCACUUGUUGUGAGUCCAGGGGAAUACACUCCUGGAGGUGACAAAAGUCCAAACUGCAAUGAUGUGCCACACUCACCCAGCUGGAUUUGAACUGAAGCAGGGCCCCAGCCAAGCCCUGCCUGAGAUCAGCAGACCCUUGAUGACCCACAAAAAUUAUCUGCUUAGGACACAGAAGUCAAUUAUACCCAAACCCUGGAUGGAAUCAGAAUCUGAAUCAGCCAUGCAAUGAGGAAGAAGAAAUGUAAGUUGAGGCCCGUGAUUCCAACAGUUCUAUCUUCCAGGAAUGGCUACCAAGGAGAAAGUGUCCUGCAAAUCAGUUUCCAACAGAAUCAACACUGCUAAACACACUCCCACUGGAGUAUGGAGAAAGGGGAUCCACAGAAGAACCUAAACCUGAACCACUUCCAUGUAUUUGCCCAUCCAUUUCUCCUCUCUGGCCAAUACUCUUCAUAUUCAAAUUCUACCAGUCCUUCAAAGAUCAGAUUAAGGUGCAAACUUUCAAAAGCCUUCUCAGCCUACUCUUCCAAAUUAAUAGUACAUAUCAACUUCAAUUAAUUAUAAACUCAUUUGUUUCAUUUUGUAUUAUUUAAUAGAAACACUGGAAUUUAAUCUUUGUGGUUUUUACAU